AACGCACAUUGCGCCCGGUAGUAUUCUACCGGGCAUGCCUGUUCGAGCGUCAUUUCAACCCUCAAGCCCUGCUUGGUGUUGGGGCGCUACCGCCGCCCGGCGGUAGGCCCCCAAAUCUAUUGGCGAGCUCGCCAGGACCCCGAGCGUAGUAGUAUUCUCCUCGCUACGGGCGUGCUGGCGGCGCGCAGCCUCUAAGCCCUCUCCGGCCGCUCCCGCGGACGGGGAGACAUCACACAAGGUUGACCUCGGAUCAGGUAGGAAUACGCGCUGAACUUAA
rnacentral:misc_RNA from 1 species